AAUCGUCACAAGAAAAAAAAUAUUAUCAUUUUAUAGAGGAACUAAAACUACCCAAAACUUUUUUUUUAAAGUGGAGGAUGCAUAAAUCAAACAAUGUCAUAAUAUUUUAUCACAAAUCAUGUCUUACCUAAUAAUUUUAUAUUUAAAACAAAACCUCCUUAUGUUUUGACACCUAUAGUUGUUUUUUGGCCUUCUCUACCUCUAACUGUUAAAUUAUUCUCCAUCCUUCAUCAAGUUUUCUCUGCACACCAAAUCUACAAAGACAAUAUUCUACCAUAUUUUCUAUAAUAAGAGCUGAAGCAUGUUAAGUCUUGGGAACCAGAAAUUUCUAUGGUAUGCCUGUACUUCAUUUUAAACCGGAAAACUUGCAAGGAAUAGACAAGAAGAAAGCAUAGUAUGAUAAACAGACACAGCAGAAGGAGAAAAAAAAAAGGCAGUGAGCACACUACAUGAAUAUUAAAACUAUAUUAUGUUGUUUUCAGAAUACCAUGAAUAAAGCUACUCAAACAAACUUGUUGAGCAAGUGACUGACACAUAAUAAAUAUAUUUUGAGAGUGGAAAUCAAAAGAGAAAAAAUAUCAACAAAGUUUUGCGAAGAGUAUGAGAGUAAUUGCAGUGAGCCAAAAGAAUUCAGCAGACAGUGAUAAAUCACAAAAUUUCCUCUUUUAGGCACAAUUCUUUAAAACAAUAUUUGUUAGAUCAUAUGAUUUUAUUCCUAUCAUAGUUUUGUCUCCAAAGUAUCCUCCACGGAGUACGCAUGCUGUGCCAAGGCAUUUUGCAUAUUAUAGUUUAGCAAACAUAUCAUAGUGAUGACGAGUAAUGAAACAUUACAGGCUACUAUGGAAAAUAAGCGCACAUCAUUCUCUUAUUCUUGUUUCUUUUGUCUAAAGAACAUUAACCUUCAGGGAGUUAUAUCUUCCCCAAUGAAUUUUUAGUUUCAGCAUUA